CCUUCUACACGCUUUGCUCUGCUUCCAUCUCUGAUUUUACCGUUUCUUCUUCUUCCUCUCGAUUUCCGUCGUGGUGAUCGCCGAUGGAGUCGGGUUCUUUGUUGCAGCGGUACCGUCGUGACCGGAAAAAGCUGCUGGCAUUCUUGUUGUCCUCGCGUUUUGUCAGAGAGCUGAGGACUCCGGCAGGUCCUGUCACUGAUUUCUCCGCCGUCGACCUUGACUCUCUGAGCGCUAGCUAUGUUUUGGAGUGCAUUAAGUCUGGUGGAGUUAUUGACAUUUCUACAGCUGCUAAGAAGAAGCAACAUGAAUCUUCUUACCCGAUAAUGAUACAAUCUCGACUACGGACUUCUUAUUUUCUACUUUCUCAUCCAGAUUUGUCUGGAUCACCUCCUAGCCGUGCGCCACCGCCACCUAAAAUGGUGGAGAGAUCCUCUAGUGACAUAUCGUGUUCAUCUAGGUCGCUUGGGUCAUCAGUUGAUGACAAUAUUGCAACCUAUAGUGAUGACUGUGGUCCUCAGUCUAAUGGAACAACAGCCACACCUUCGAAACUUGUGAAGGAUCUCAAAGUUCCGGCUUUAGGACUACCUAAGUUGUAUACAGGACUGACAGAUGAUGACUUGGAUGAAGCAGCAUAUUUAAUCUUGCUUGCAUCAAUCGCAUUUUCUGGGGUUGAAAUCUAUUCAUCUGAGGAUAAAAAGAAAGAAAAUGGUAUUACACAUACUGUAGGGAUGACAAGUAUAAGGAAUGAAGUAGAUGUUCAAUCAGAGAAUUUUGAAGGACAUUUGAAUUUUCUUCACGCUAUCCGCACCCAGAUGCAGAUUUCAGCAGUUUCUGAUGCAUGCAUGAGGAAAAGAUUAAUGGAAUUGGCUGCAAAGAGAAACUGGGGGCAAAUUAAUGUUCCUCAAGUUUUGUUGGUCCUCUUGCAUGGGGUUUUCAGGUCUGAUUUUCCUAGUGAGAAAGCUUAUAUGCAAUGGAAGUUCAGACAGGUCAAUCUUUUGGAAGAAUUCUGUUACUCUGCUAAUCUUGUAGCUUCUGAACGUCAAAUCUGUGAAAGUUCUCUUGUGAAGAUCAGAAGUACAAAGGAAUGGGAUAUCAAUAUGGUUCGAUCUGAGCGUGCAAAAGUAUUGUCAGGUAUUGGACAAGUACUGUCGAAGUUGCCAGCUCCCUCUGCUUAUCACUUAAACAUCAGGUUAUAUGAGAAAUUGAUUUUAGGCAUGUUUGAUGUUCUUGACGACAGCCAUCCCGUUAUGGAAGUGGAUGACAGUCUCGUCCUUCUCAAAUUGACUUGGUCUGCUUUAGGCAUCACUCCGGAAGUACACAGUGUGAUCUUCGGGUGGGUCCUUUUCCAUCAGUUUGUCAAGACAGGUGAAGCCUCAUUCUUGGACGAAGCCAUUCUUGAGUUACAGGAGGUUGCAUCAUCUAAAGAUGACGGUGGGAAAGAAGAACAAUAUUUGAAAAGCCUAUCAUGUUCAAUAUCAUGCAAUGGCAAUGAAAUGAAGUUGAGUUUGGUGGAGUCCGCCUUCUUCUUAAUUAGCAGUUGGUGUGACAUUAAACUACAAGCCUACCAUUUGCACUUCCGUGAGAAAACUUCUUACUUUGGGAAAGUGGUGAGCCUGUUGUCCACUGUUGGAGUUAUUACUGAUUGCAAUACUGUAAAGUUAACAAAAUUGGAUGGUUUGAAAGCAAUUGGGGCUAGAAAACUCAGAACCUAUGUCGAGAAGUCCAUAGAAGCUGCUUACAAAGAGGCAGAGAAUAAUGAAAAUUCUGAAUCCAAAGAGAGUAUACAUCCUCUGGCACUCCUUGCCAAUAGGCUACGAUUGGUUGUGGAGAAAGAAAUUACUGUAUUCUUCCCGGUUUUACGUCAAUUAUGUCCUGAUUCUGGGAUAAUUGCAGCCAUGCUAUUGCACCAAUAUUAUGGAGAAAAACUGAAGCCAUUCUUAAAGGAAGUAUCGAAGCUUUCAGAUGAUGUAAGGUCGGUGCUUCCAGCUGCCUAUUCCUUAGAUCGUGACCUAACUCAUUUAUUUACUGCUGCUUCCAAAGAAAGUAGAUUAAGCCCUCUUCUCAAGGAAGACCUUGAGCACUAUCCGAUUGUACAAAUUGCUAAGCCCAUAAUUCUUGACUGGAUGAUCGAUCAACUGGAACAAACCUCUGAAUGGACUGGACGUGCUUUCAAGUUAGAGGAUUGGGAACCAAUAUCGUUUCAGCAAAAUCUGGCAGCAUCAGUUAUUGAAGUUUUUAGAAUUAUUGAGGAGACUGUUGACCAGUAUUUUGACCUGAACCUUCCGAUGGACAUCACACAUUUGCAAGCUCUCCUGUCCAUUGUCUAUCACAGCUUGGAUGGCUAUCUAUCGGGUCUUCUCAACCAGUUAGUUGAGAAGAAUUAUUUGUAUCCACCUGUUCCUCCAUUGACUCGUUUUAUGGAGACAGUUGCAACAGGAAAGAAAAAGUUGCCCGAAUGUCAUUUAGACGAGCAUGUGAGCAGCAAAUUGAAUGGAUUGACGAUAUCUAAGCUUUGUAUAAAAUUGAAUACCCUUGGUUACAUUCAAAAACAAAUUGAAACACUGGAGGAUAGAAUUGGAAAAUCUUGGGCGCUUAUUGGAGGAUCUGCUAAGCAUAAACGCGCCCCGGAAGAGGCGACUGUCAAUGGUGGUCUUCGUACCUGUAGUGACGAAGUUAAUGAGUUGUUUGCCAACACUUUCAACAACAUUAAGAGUUUCAUUGCAAAGGCUAUCAGCAAGUUUUGUGACAUUACUGGCAUAAGAGUUAUUUUUUGGGAUCUCAGAGAUGAGUUCCUCUCGUAUUUGUAUCAUGGCAAUGUUGAUGCUGUUCGAUUAGAAGACGUUCUUGCGCAUCUUGAUACGGUCCUAAACAAUGUAUGUGGCAGGAUCGAUGAUACUCUUAGGGAUCUCGUGGUAUUGAGCAUCUGUCGAGCAUCAAUGGAAGCCUUCAUAUGGGUGAUGCUUAAUGGAGGUCCUUCACGUGCAUUUUCUGAUUCAGAUAUUGUUCUCAUUAAGGAAGAUCUCGGUAUAUUGAAGGACUUCUUUGUAGCUGAUGGAGAAGGUCUUCCCCGUACUCUUGUUGAGAAGGAAGCAAAAUUUGCUGAAGAAAUAUUGGGCUUAUAUUCACUUCCGACUGAAACUAUUAUUCAACUGCUGAUGAGCUCAGGUGGGGAUAUUUCUACGGAAUUGGAUCCGUGUAGUAAUAAUGGCAGUCUUCAUUUUAACGAUUCCCAGGCAUUGGUACGAGUCUUAUGCCACAAAAAAGAUACGGAAGCUUCCACGUUUCUAAAGCGAAAAUAUAAUCUCCCUGCUUCUUCAGAUGAAUGACUGUAGAGGGACAUAUUGUGAUGAGGGAGGAUAGAGAAUAAAAUGAACUUACAGGACAGGAAAAGUAAAAUUAGGCAAGCCUUGAUAAAUUUUUUGGAUUUAGAUUAUGAUAUGACCCCCUUGCAGGCCUCAACUCAGAGAUGACAUGACUUGUGACAAAUUCAAAGUGUGAUUCAUAAUUGAUAGAAAAUAGAAGGAUUUAGCAAUUUCCAACGAUGACUUUGCACGGUGGCUAGAAAGAAAGAGUAGGAAGGGAAAAUUGAGUUUGGUCCCAUGUGGCUAGAUUUUACUUGCCGAAGGCGAGUCUUAUGGGUGAUCCAAUCAAGAGUGGAGUUUUGCCUAUAAAUGUACAUAAUAUAUUUCAUUUUAUAAUAAAACGAAAAUUGCAUUUGUGUUUGAUUA